rnacentral:rRNA from 1 species
CCUGGGACUACGAGCGGAAGCUUAAAACCUAAAAGACUUGGCGGUGCCCUAAACUUCCUAGAGGAGCCUGUUCUAUAAACGAUACCCCCCGAUAAACCUCACCACUUCUUGCCAAUACUGUCUGUAUACCUCCGUCAUUAACUGUCCCUCCAAGGGCUAGUCAGUGAAAUGGGCUCUCCCCAAUUAGUCAGGUCAAGGUGCAGCGAAUGAAGUGGGAAGAAAUGGGCUACAUUUUCUACCUAUAGACUAUACGAAAAAUCAUUAUGAAAUCUGAUUGGAAGGUGGAUUUAGUAGUAAAGAGAGAUCAGAGAGCUCUUUUUAAAUUGAUCUUAGUGCGCGUACACACUGCCCGUCACCCUCUUCGACCCCACUCAAAUAAUUUUUUAAACCUACUUAGGGACUAAGAAGAGGCAAGUCGUAACAUGGUAAGUCCACCGGAAGGUGGACUUGGAU